rnacentral:rRNA from 1 species
UACAUGGGGUGCAAACGUUGCUCGGAAUUAUUGGGCGUAAAGCGCGCGUAGGCGGUUACUCAAGUCGGAUGUGAAAGCCCUCGGCUUAACUGAGGAAGUGCACCCGAAACUGAGUAGCUAGAGUACUAAAGAGGGUCGCGGAAUUCCCGGUGUAGAGGUGAAAUUCGUAGAUAUUGGGAAGAACACCGGUGGCGAAGGCGGCGCUCUGGACCGAGACUGACGCUGAGGCGCGAAGGCGUGGGGAGCAAACAGG